rnacentral:tRNA from 1 species
GGUGGUGUAGCUCAGUGGUAGAGCACUUGCCUAACAUGUGCAAGACACUGGGUUCAAUCUUCAGCACCA